rnacentral:rRNA from 1 species
AUUGAACGCUGGCGGCAUGCCUUACACAUGCAAGUCGAACGGCAGCACGGGAGCAAUCCUGGUGGCGAGUGGCGAACGGGUGAGUAAUAUAUCGGAACGUGCCCAGUCGUGGGGGAUAACGCAGCGAAAGCUGUGCUAAUACCGCAUACGAUCUCUGGAUGAAAGCGGGGGACCGUAAGGCCUCGCGCGAUUGGAGCGGCCGAUAUCAGAUUAGCUAGUUGGUGGGGUAAAGGCCCACCAAGGCGACGAUCUGUAGCUGGUCUGAGAGGACGACUAGCCACACUGGAACUGAGACACGGUCCAGACUCCUACGGGAGGCAGAAGUGGGGAAUUUUGGACAAUGGGCGCAAGCCUGAUCCAGCAAUGCCGCGUGCAGGAUGAAGGCCUUCGGGUUGUAAACUGCUUUUGUACGGAACGAAACGGCGAGCUCUAAUAAAGUUUGCUAAUGACGGUACCGUAAGAAUAAGCACCGGCUAACUACGUGCCAGCCGCCGCCGUAA